rnacentral:rRNA from 1 species
CACGUAGUUAGCCGGGGCUUCUUACUCAGGUACCGUCAUUUUCUUCCCUGCUGAUAGAGCUUUACGUAACGAAUUACUUCUUCACUCACGCGGCGUCGCUGCAUCAGGGUUUCCCCCAUUGUGCAAUAUUCCCCACUGCUGCCUCCCCGUAGGAGUCUGGGCCGUGUCUCAGUCCCAAUGUGGCCGUCCGCCCUCUCAGGCCGGCUACUGAUCGUCGCCUUGGUGGGCCGUUACCCCGCCAACAAGCUAAUCAGACGCGGGUCCAUCUUACACCACCGGAGUUUUUCACACCGCUUCAUGCGAAGCUGUGCGCUUAUGCGGUUUUAGCACCUAUUUCUAAGUGUUAUCCCCCUGUGUAAGGCAGGUUACCCACGCGUUACUCACCCGUCCGCCACUAACCCAUAUAUCACUAGGUUUCAAUAUGGGUCCGUUCGACUUGCAUGUGUUAAGCACGCCGCCAGCGUUCAUCCUGAGCCAGGAUACAAACUCU